AUUGAACGCUGGCGGCAGGCCUAACACAUGCAAGUCGAGCGAGGGGCGGACGGGUGAGUAAUGUGUGGGGAUCUGCGCGAUAGAGGGGGAUAAAUACUGGACACGGUGGCUAAUACCGCAUACUAUCGGAAGAACCCAUAUGGGAUUAGCUAGUGGGUGGGGUAAAGGCUCACCUAGGCGACGAUCUCUAGCUGGUCUGAGAGGAUGAUCAGCCACACUGGGACUGAGACACGGCCCAGACUCCUACGGGAGGCAGCAGUGGGGAAUAUUGCACAAUGGGCGCAAGCCUGAUGCAGCCAUGCCGCGUGUAUGAAGAAGGCCUUAGGGUUGUAAAGUACUUUCAGCGGGGAGGCGUUACCCGCAGAAGAAGCACCGGCUAACUCCGUGCCAGCAGCCGCGGUAAUAC
rnacentral:rRNA from 1 species